rnacentral:lncRNA from 1 species
GGAAGAGAAGGAGGAGGAGGAGGAGGAGGAGAAAGUGGCUCUCAGCGGCCGGUCGGAUUAAAAGUAACCAGACUCGUCCAGAAAACUGCGUCCAGGAAGGAAGUGACAGAAGACGAAUGGGAAAAGGAGAACAGCUCACAGCGUUUGAAACAUCGCGGCACCACUUUCAGAUAAAAACAUAGACCUGAAUGGCAUCAUCCAGUAUCCAAGGAAACCAUGUUCUCUAAACAUGAAUAUGCCUUUGGGGGAAGACAGAAGAACAUGGAAGCCAUGUGAAAAAAACGGAUCCUAAGGCAGUUUUGAACAUCUGGAGGCCUGAUUUAUUGGAGAUUGCAAAUGUACAGUGUAACAUAGCUGUGGAGAGCGAGAAGAUCAGGAUUGUCAAUGCUGUCAUUGCUUUUACUGGAAUCCCCAGCACGAAUUGAAGGUCUCACUUUGCCACCUAGGCUGGAUGCAAUGCAACGGUAUGUUGAUCUUGGUUCACUGCAGCCUCAACCUCCUGAGCUCAUGUGAUCCUCCCACCUCAGUCCCCCACGUCGCUUGGAUUACAGGCCUGUGCCACCACACCUGGCUAACUUUUUUUGUAAUUUUUGUAGAGACAGGGUCUCACUAUGUUUCCCAUGCUGGUCUUUAAUGCCUGAGCUCAAGCCAUCCGCCUGCCUCGGCCUCCCAAAUUGCUGGGAUUACAGGCAUGAGCCACCAUGCCCAGCCUAAUUCUUCUAAAUCUUAUCCUAGUAAUUAAGCCAGAAUUUUUCUCUGCCAAGACCAAUAGAUGGACCAAGAAGUACUCAUCCUUGUAAACUUUCUUUGGAUAAAUUGCUUACAUAUAAUAAAUUCAGAGUUAAGUAAUAAAAAUAAUGAACUACUGUCUUG